CUCACGACCGUACCGCAAACCGACACUGGUGCGCGAGAUGAGUAUUCUAAGGCGCUUGAGAGAACUCAGGAGAAGGAACUCGGCAAAUUGACACCGUAACUUCGGAAGAAGGUGUGCCUUUAGUAGGUGAACCAUUUACUUGGGGAGCCCAAUGAGGCUGCAAAAAAUCGGUGGCUGCAACUGUUUAUUAAAAACACAGCACUCUGCUAAGACGAAAGUCGACGUAUAGGGUGUGACGCCUGCCCGGUGCUGGAAGAUUAAAUGAUGGGGUGCAAGCUCUUGAUUGAAGUCCCAGUAAACGGCGGCCGUAACUAUAACGGUCCUAAGGUAGCGAAAUUCCUUGUCGGGUAAGUUCCGACCUGCACGAAUGGCGUAAUGAUGGCCACACUGUCUCCUCCUGAGACUCAGCGAAGUUGAAAUGUUUGUGAUGAUGCAAUCUCCCCGCGGAAAGACGGAAAGACCCCAUGAACCUUUACUGUAGCUUUGUAUUGGACUUUGAACAGAUCUGUGUAGGAUAGGUGGGAGGCUUUGAAGUGUGGUCGCUAGAUCGCAUGGAGCCAACGUUGAAAUACCACCCUGGUGUGUUUGAGGUUCUAACCUAGGUCCAUUAUCUGGAUCGGGGACAGUGCAUGGUAGGCAGUUUGACUGGGGCGGUCUCCUCCCAAAGUGUAACGGAGGAGUUCGAAGGUACGCUAGGUACGGUCGGACAUCGUGCUAAUAGUGCAAUGGCAUAAGCGUGCUUAACUGCGAGACUGACAAGUCGAGCAGAUGCGAAAGCAGGACAUAGUGAUCCGGUGGUUCUGUAUGGAAGGGCCAUCGCUCAACGGAUAAAAGGUACUCUGGGGAUAACAGGCUGAUACCGCCCAAGAGUUCAUAUCGACGGCGGUGUUUGGCACCUCGAUGUCGGCUCAUCUCAUCCUGGGGCUGUAGCCGGUCCCAAGGGUAUGGCUGUUCGCCAUUUAAAGAGGUACGUGAGCUGGGUUUAAAACGUCGUGAGACAGUUUGGUCCCUAUCUUCCGUGGGCGCUGCAGAUUUGAGGAAGCCUGCUCCUAGUACGAGAGGACCGGAGUGGACGAACCUCUGGUGUAUCGGUUGUCACGCCAGUGGCAUUGCCGAGUAGCUAAGUUCGGAAGAGAUAACCGCUGAAAGCAUCUAAGCGGGAAACUCGCUUCAAGAUUAGAUCUGCCGGGGCCUUGAGCCCCCUAAAGAGUCGUUCAAGACCAGGACGUUGAUAGGUCAGGUGUGGAAGCG
rnacentral:rRNA from 1 species